CUUUUUGUAGCUGCCAUUUGUGAUUGCACAAAACACGUGAAACAAUGCAGUUGUUUGUACGAGGUAGCGAGACUCAUGCCUUGCAGUUGGCAGGAAACGAAACUGUGUCCGACAUCAAGAACUUGAUUAGCGAGCGAGAGGGGUUUCCAGUUGAGGAACAGAUUAUUCUGUAUGCUGGCAAACCACUGCAGGAUGAGUACGAACUGACUAAACUUAAUGACUUGUCCACCCUGGACAUUGAAGUCAGAAUGCUGGGAGGUAAAGUCCACGGCUCUCUUGCUCGUGCCGGAAAAGUCAAGGGACAGACCCCAAAGGUUUUUCUUUAACAGGUUGAGAAACAAGAGAAGAAGAAACAGAAGACAGGAAGGGCCAAGAGACGCAUGCAGUACAACAGAAGAUUUGGAGUUGUUGUGUCUACAUUCGGUCGCAGAAAGGGACCCAAUGCUAACUCCUAAAAUGUGUUUAUUUCAAAAACUGGAUUAAAAUCAUGUUGUAGCUGUG
rnacentral:misc_RNA from 1 species